UCCUUAGACCUGUGCAAUGCCCGUUUUAGCAACGCUUCAGGGUGGGAACACAGCAGAGCACUGGAACGGUGUGUGUGCCGCAGAUAUCUGAGGAGAG
rnacentral:SRP_RNA from 1 species